UGCUGAGGCACACACUCACAUACUUGCAUCCAAACAUCAGGGCUUUUGCCUGGGAGUGUGUCAUGGUGCAGAUCCAGUCCACCGGCAAAAGGAGCGAAGACGUUUCUUAGAGUGUGCAUUUGAAAAAUCAAGAUGAAACUGGGCAGAACAUCAGUGUGUGAAGCAGACCUGUCCAGACAGCGAGGGCCGACUCCUGUUUAGACUGGGCCGGCGCCAGUCAUCCCCUCACUUUGCCUCAGCAGCGACAGACUCAAGCAUGCAGAACAGAGCAGGCAGGUCUUAUCUAGCAGACCAGAACGCUCUGUUCUCAGAGUUCUCACCUUUCACCCGGGGUGAACGUGAGGCGGCAUCACUCGGGCCCCCGAGCCCCACGGAGACCAGAACACAACACCAUCCUGACGAGCCGAGCUGUAUGGAGAGUCAGUGGCAUGCUGAAAGACACGAGCUGGUAGAAAGGAACCAGGGAGAACAAACAAGUGACUGACAUCAUAGAAGAUACACAGAGAUGACAUGCAGACAUCAAAAGCUGGUUUGAGCGUGAGGUUGUCGAGUUUAGGCCUUUUCUUCAGGUAGCUGGUGUCAGUGUCUUAUUGUGACAUACAGAUCACUCCAGGUGUGGGGACAGUCUGUUAGUAAAGACCUAUAUAUAAAUUGUCUAUUAUGUAUUUGUCUGCAUACAAUAGGACAACCUACAAAGUCUCUGCUAUACAGCUGCUGAAGAUUUUCAAAAUAAAAGACCCCCAAGUGAGAUUAACAGUUGAUUAGUGGAUCAAAUAAAAAUA